rnacentral:rRNA from 1 species
UAAACCUCUUUCACCAUCGACGAAGGUCCGUGUUCUCUCGGAUUGACGGUAGGUGGAGAAGAAGUACCGGCCAACUACGUGCCAGCAGCUGCGGUAAUACGUAGGGUGCGAGCGUUGUCCGGAAUUACUGGGCGUAAAGAGCUCGUAGGUGGUUUGUCGCGUUGUUCGUGAAAUCUCACGGCUUAACUGUGAGCGUGCGGGCGAUACGGGCAGACUAGAGUACUGCAGGGGAGACUGGAAUUCCUGGUGUAGCGGUGGAAUGCGCAGAUAUCAGGAGGAACACCGGUGGCGA